UGGGCUCAGGCCCAGAGUGCCAGCUUUGCCCUAUCCCAUAGCCUGGAGCCACCACAGGAGGGGCACUCCACUCUCUUGGGCUCCUGGAGCCUCAGAGGCAGAGCCAGCCGGGAGUGCAGGAGGGAGAACUUUCCUGUGGACGUCCUGUGUUCUCCAGACGCAGAGAACCCUCAUCAACCGAGGGGGAGGUCACUUCCGAAUCCACAGAUGGCGUGUGAGUGCAUGGCGAGCGCCUCCAGGACACACUUACUGUUCCCUUGCUCUGGCCAGACGCCAGCCGGACCCUGUGUGUGCGCGCCGUGCUGCUCUUUGCAGCUGCCUGCAAGGGGUUCCUGCGAAGACCAGCACCUUGGGGAAGAGCCUGCGGCUGAACUUGAACUCGCAGCUACCUGAGUCAGACCUGUGCUUUUUCACCUCUACGGAAGAUGUCAGAGCGUUUCCCUAGCAAUGUUUUAGAAGUUACUUCUGUCUGGAAAAAAAUGGAAAAAAUGGCAAAUUAUGUUAUGUAUAAUUUGAUAAUUUUAAAGAAUUAAUGAUGUAAUUAUUACUCAAACCCA
rnacentral:lncRNA from 1 species